rnacentral:lncRNA from 1 species
GGAGAGAGCCUCACUUGUCACACUGUUGCGGUACAACCGUAUUGAUACUUUUUCUCUCAGAUCAAGAACUACUGAUAUCCACAUGUACAGACAUUAGAACCAGGAAGCACGAUGGAGCGCAGAGCAGGGCUUCUCAUGUCAUGGCAGCCACAGACGGCACACACUUCCCAUCCAACUGGCUCCCAGGGCAGGGUCCUCAAGGCUCCCCCAGGCACCAGGAGCAAGUCCUCGGGCUGCAAUCAGUAAACACCAGCUGGUUGGGACUUGCCUAGACCAUAAGCACCCUUGGCCUUGAUGGUGGAUGAGUGAGUCAGGCCUAUGCAGGUGCAUCUGUGACUUCAGCAGAACGGCCUGGCCCAGUCAACCCUCAGCACCCCUGCGAAGCCCAUGAAACCUGGACACACAAAGUGUCACAGCCUCGGGGACCUUGGGACCCAUAGAAUCCCAGGCCCCUUCCACCCGUGUUGAACCAGAACCUGCAUUUCAAGCAUUCACGCACACCCAGGAAGCCCUCUGCACAUUCAGGUCUGAGACUGUCUCGCUUAGGACUACCAUGCUUGCCUCACAUGACUUUCUCUUCCCAUGACUUUCUCUCCCUGUGUUUCUGCUGGCUCUGACCAAUCUGAGCUGCCCAAAAGGAACAUCCUCGGUGGCAGUCCAGUCCCCAAGCCUACCACAUCAAUCAGCUCAGGUGAAUUCAAAUGAAGCUAGAUUGGAACUGUAGUGAGACCGACCAUCCUUGAAGGGGAAAUUCAUGUGACGAACUUACUGUAAAGACCACUGGUCACAACAGCUCACAAUGAACACUCGUCUUUGAAUCAAACUUCCAUCAGCUGGCACUGACUUGGGCGUCUACUCUACCAGGAAACCAGUUCCUGGUGCCAAAAUGUGUGGAGGCCACUGAGCCAACAGAUAUGAGAGGAAGAAGAAAACCGGAACAGUCUCACCGUUAUGAGAUAUGACUCAGGAACUCUGGGAUAAAAGAACUUUCAAACCUUGAUUUGGCCCA